AAGAAGUAACUAGAAUAUGUAGUGUAGCGGUGAAAUGCUUAGAGAUUACAUGGAAUACCAAUUGCGAAGGCAGGUUACUAUUAAUAUAUUGACGCUGAUGGACGAAAGCGUGGGUAGCGAGCAGGAUUAGAUACCCUGGUAGUCCACGCCGUAAACGAUGGAUACUAGCUGUUUGGAGCAAUCUGAGUGGUAAAGCGAAAGUGAUAAGUAUCCCACCUGGGGAGUACGUUCGCAAGAAUGAAACUCAAAGGAAUUGACGGGGGCCCGCACAAGCGGUGGAGCAUGUGGUUUAAUUCGAUGAUACGCGAGGAACCUUACCAAGGCUUAAAUGUAGUUUGACCGUUUUGGAAACAGAACUUUCGCAAGACAAAUUACAAGGUGCUGCAUGGUUGUCGUCAGCUCGUGCCGUGAGGUGUCAGGUUAAGUCCUAUGACGAGCGCAACCCCUGUUGUUAGUUGCCAGCGAGUCAAGUCGGGAACUCUAACAAGACUGCCAGUGCAGACUGUGAGGAAGGUGGGGAUGACGUCAAAUCAUCACGGCCCUUACGCCUUGGGCUACACACGUGCUACAAUGG
rnacentral:rRNA from 1 species